UACGUAGGGGGCAAGCGUUGUCCGGAUUUAUUGGGCGUAAAGAGCGUGUAGGCGGCCAGACAGGUCCGUUGUGAAAACUCGAGGCUCAACCUCGAGAUGUCGAUGGAAACCGUCUGGCUAGAGUCCGGAAGAGGAGUGUGGAAUUCCUGGUGUAGCGGUGAAAUGCGCAGGAUAUCAGGAGGAACACCGGUGGCGAAGGCGGGUCUCUGGGCCGAUACUGACGUGAGGAGCGAAAGCGUGGGGAGCGAACAGG
rnacentral:rRNA from 1 species